rnacentral:rRNA from 1 species
UACGGGAGGCAGCACUGGGGAAUAUUGCACAAUGGGCGAAAGCCUGAUGCAGCUAUGCCGCGUGUAUGAAGAAGGCCUUAGGGUUGUAAAGUACUUUCAUCGGGGAGGAAAAACAAAACUAAUAAUUUUAUUUCUUGACGUUACCCGAAAAAGAAGCACCGGCUAACUCCGUGCCAGCAGCCGCGGUAAUACGGAGGGUGCUAGCGUUAAUCAGAAUUACUGGGCGUAAAGAGCACGUAGGUGGUUUUUUUAAGUCAGAUGUGAAAUCCCUGGGCUUAACCUAGGAACUGCAUUUUGAAACUGAAAUACUAGAGUAUCGUAGAGGGAGGUAGAAUUCUAGGUGUAGCGGUGAAAUGCGUAGAUAUCUGGAGGAAUACCUGUGGCGAAAGCGGCCUCCUAAACGAAUACUGACACUGAGGUGCGAAAGCGUGGGGAGCAAACAGGGAUUAGAUACC